rnacentral:rRNA from 1 species
UAGGGUCAAGCGAACAAGUGCAUGUGGUGGAUGCCUUGGCGAUCACAGGCGAUGAAGGACGCGGUAGCCUGCGAAAAGCUUCGGGGAGCUGGCAAACGAGCUUUGAUCCGAAGAUGUCCGAAUGGGGAAACCCACCUCUUUUGAGGUAUCCAUGGCUGAAUACAUAGGCCAUGUGAAGCGAACGCGGUGAACUGAAACAUCUAAGUAACCGCAGGAAAAGAAAUCAACCGAGAUUCCCAGAGUAGUGGCGAGCGAAAUGGGAGCAGCCUGUACUCUUUAUCUUUGUUGUUAGCCGAACGCUCUGGAAAGUGCGGCCAUAGCAGGUGAUAGCCCUGUAGGCGAAAACAGCGAGGAAGAACUGGGUGUACGAGAAGUAGGGCGGGACACGUGAAAUCCUGUCUGAAGAUGGGGGGACCAUCCUCCAAGGCUAAAUACUCGUGAUCGACCGAUAGUGAACCAGUACCGUGAGGGAAAGGCGAAAAGAACCCCGGGAGGGGAGUGAAACAGAUCCUGAAACCGCAUGCAUACAAACAGUCGGAGCCCCGCUUUAAGCGCUUUGGGCGCGCUCACGAAGUGAGUGCGUCAAAAGACAUCGAGUCUGAAACAGGACAGCUGCGCGCUUAGGGCGGAUUUAAGCGCGAGAGCGCUUAAAGCGGGGUGACGGCGUACCUUUUGUAUAAUGGGUCAGCGACUUACAUUCAGUGGCAAGCUUAACCGAUUAGGGCAGGCGUAGCGAAAGCGAGUCCGAACAGGGCGUUCAGUCGCUGGGUGUAGACCCGAAACCAGGUGAUCUAUCCAUGGCCAGGAUGAAGGUGCGGUAACACGUACUGGAGGUCCGAACCCACUAACGUUGAAAAGUUAGGGGAUGAGCUGUGGAUAGGGGUGAAAGGCUAAACAAACCUGGAAAUAGCUGGUUCUCUCCGAAAACUAUUUAGGUAGUGCCUCGUGUAUCACCUUCGGGGGUAGAGCACUGUCAUGGUUGAAGGGUCCAUUGCGGAUUACUUCGCCAUAGCAAACUCCGAAUACCGAAGAGUGCAAUCACGGGAGACAGACAUCGGGUGCUAACGUCCGGUGUCAAGAGGGAAACAACCCAGACCGCCAGCUAAGGUCCCCAAAUAUUGCUAAGUGGGAAACGAAGUGGGAAGGCUAAAACAGUCAGGAGGUUGGCUUAGAAGCAGCCACCCUUUAAAGAAAGCGUAAUAGCUCACUGAUCGAGUCGUCCUGCGCGGAAGAUGUAACGGGGCUAAGCAAUAUACCGAAGCUGCGGAUGCACAGCAAUGUGCAUGGUAGGAGAGCGUUCCGUAAGCCUGCGAAGGUGCACUGGAAAGUGUGCUGGAGGUAUCGGAAGUGCGAAUGCUGACAUGAGUAGCGAUAAAGGGGGUGAAAGGCCCCCUCGCCGUAAGCCCAAGGUUUCCUACGCAACGUUCAUCGGCGUAGGGUGAGUCGGCCCCUAAGGCGAGGCAGAAAUGCGUAGCUGAUGGGAAGCAGAUUAAUAUUUCUGCACCAUUGUGAAAUGCGAUGGGGGGACGGAUCGCGGAAGGUUGUCCGGGUGUUGGAAGUCCCGGUUCCUGUGUUGGAGAAGGCGCUUUGGCAAAUCCGGGCGCGUAAUUCAAGGGCAUGGGACGAGCCGCUUAGGCGGCGAAGCAACUGGAAGGGGUUCCAGGAAAAGCCUCUAAGCUUCAGUUUCACGAUGACCGUACCGCAAACCGACACAGGUGGGCGAGAUGAGUAUUCUAAGGCGCUUGAGAGAACUCGGGAGAAGGAACUCGGCAAAUUGGUACCGUAACUUCGGGAUAAGGUACGCCCCGGUAGCUUGACUGGCCUGCGCCAGAAGGGUGAAGGGGUUGCAAUAAACUGGUGGCUGCGACUGUUUAAUAAAAACACAGCACUCUGCAAACACGAAAGUGGACGUAUAGGGUGUGACGCCUGCCCGGUGCCGGAAGAUUAAAUGAUGGGGUGCAAGCUCUUGAUUGAAGUCCCGGUAAACGGCGGCCGUAACUAUAACGGUCCUAAGGUAGCGAAAUUCCUUGUCGGGUAAGUUCCGACCUGCACGAAUGGCGUAACGAUGGCCACACUGUCUCCUCCCGAGACUCAGCGAAGUUGAAGUGUUUGUGAUGAUGCAAUCUCCCCGCGGCUAGACGGAAAGACCCCAUGAACCUUUACUGCAGCUUUGCAUUGGACUUUGAACCGGUCUGUGUAGGAUAGGUGGGAGGCUAUGAAGCGUGAACGCCAGUUUGCGUGGAGCCGUCCUUGAAAUACCACCCUGGCUUGUUUGAGGUUCUAACCUUGGCCCGUGAUCCGGGUCGGGGACAGUGCAUGGUAGGCAGUUUGACUGGGGCGGUCUCCUCCCAAAGUGUAACGGAGGAGUACGAAGGUACGCUAGGUACGGUCGGAAAUCGUGCUGAUAGUGCAAUGGCAUAAGCGUGCUUAACUGCGAGACCGACAAGUCGAGCAGGUGCGAAAGCAGGUCAUAGUGAUCCGGUGGUUCUGUAUGGAAGGGCCAUCGCUCAACGGAUAAAAGGUACUCUGGGGAUAACAGGCUGAUACCGCCCAAGAGUUCAUAUCGACGGCGGUGUUUGGCACCUCGAUGUCGGCUCAUCUCAUCCUGGGGCUGUAGCCGGUCCCAAGGGUAUGGCUGUUCGCCAUUUAAAGAGGUACGUGAGCUGGGUUUAAAACGUCGUGAGACAGUUUGGUCCCUAUCUGCCGUGGGCGCUGGAUAUUUGAAGGGGGCUGCUCCUAGUACGAGAGGACCGGAGUGGACGAACCUCUGGUGUACCGGUUGUCACGCCAGUGGCAUCGCCGGGUAGCUAUGUUCGGAAGAGAUAACCGCUGAAAGCAUCUAAGCGGGAAACUCGCCUUAAGAUGAGAUAUCCCCGGGGCUUCGAGCCCCUUGAAGGGUCGUUCAAGACCAGGACGUUGAUAGGUCAGGUGUGGAAGCGCAGUAAUGCGUUAAGCUAACUGAUACUAAUUGCCCGUAAGGCUUGAUCCUA